rnacentral:rRNA from 1 species
UACGUAGGGUCCGAGCGUUGUCCGGAAUUACUGGGCGUAAAGAGCUCGUAGGCGGUUUGUCGCGUCUGCUGUGAAAACUCGGGGCUUAACCCCGGGCCUGCAGUGGGUACGGGCAGACUAGAGUGCGGUAGGGGGAGACUGGAAUUCCUGGUGUAGCGGUGAAAUGCGCAGAUAUCAGGAGGAACACCGGUGGCGAAGGCGGGUCUCUGGGCCGAUACUGACGCUGAGGAGCGAAAGCGUGGGGAGCGAACAGG